rnacentral:rRNA from 1 species
GACGAACGCUGGCGGCGUGCUUAACACAUGCAAGUCGAACGAUGAAGAAAAGAAUUGAAGCUUCGGCAGAAAUUCAUUUCGGAUUAGUGGCAGACGGGUGGGUAACGCGUGAGCAACCUACCUCUUACAAAGGGAUAGCCUCGGGAAACCGGGAUUAAUACCAUAUAACAUUGCGACGAAGCAUUUCGAUGCAAUCAAAGCUACGGCGGUAAGAGAUGGGCUCGCGUCCCAUUAACCAGAUGGUGAGGUAACGGCUCACCAUAGUAACGAUGGGUAACCGGCCUGAGAGGGUGAACGGUCACACUGGAACUGAGACACGGUCCAGACUCCUACGGGAGGCAGCAGUGGGGAAUAUUGCACAAUGGAGGGAACUCUGAUGCAGCGACGCCGCGUGAGUGAUGAAGGAAUUCGUUUCGUAAAACUCUGUUCUAUGGGAAGAAAAGGACUGUACCAUAGGAGAAAGCUCCGGCUAAAUACGUG